rnacentral:lncRNA from 12 species
AUGGAAGACAUGAGCAAAAAAAAAAAGAAGAAGAAGAACCAUUUGUGUAAGGAAGCCUGUGAUCUGAGUGUUGAGUGUGAUACUCUCUGGACCAGCAGCAGUCACAGAGACCCCUUGAUCAUUAAGAAGAACGAACUCUUGGGAACAUUGCACUGGUGGUUGAGAAAGAGAGAAAGAAAGACUGAGAGAAGAGAACUCCCCUUUCCAGAGAAGACCAAUAUUUCAGAACCAACAGGAAACUAA